UGGGGGAUAUUGCGCAAUGGGGGCAACCCUGACGCAGCAACGCCGCGUGAAGGAUGAAGGUUUUCGGAUUGUAAACUUCUUUUAUUAAGGACGAAACUUGACGGUACUUAAUGAAUAAGCUCCGGCUAACUACGUGCCAGCCAGCCGCGGUAAUACGUAGGGAGCAAGCGUUGUCCGGAUUUACUGGGUGUAAAGGGUGCGUAGGCGGCUUUGCAAGUCAGAUGUGAAAUCUAUGGGCUCAACCCAUAAACUGCAUUUGAAACUGUAGAGCUUGAGUGAAGUAGAGGCAGGCGGAAUUCCCCGUGUAGCGGUGAAAUGCGUAGAGAUGGGGAGGAACACCAGUGGCGAAGGCGGCCUGCUGGGCUUUAACUGACGCUGAGGCACGAAAGCGUGGGUAGCAAACAGGAUUAGAUACCCUGGUAGUCCACGCUGUAAACGAUGAUUACUAGGUGUGGGGGGUCUGACCCCUUCCGUGCCGGAGUUAACACAAUAAGUAAUCCACCUGGGGAGUACGGCCGCAAGGUUGAAACUCAAAGGAAUUGACGGGGGCCCGCACAAGCAGUGGAGUAUGUGGUUUAAUUCGAAGCAACGCGAAGAACCUUACCAGGUCUUGACAUCCAACUAACGAAGUAGAGACACAUUAGGUGCCCUUCGGGGAAAGUUGAGACAGGUGGUGCAUGGUUGUCGUCAGCUCGUGUCGUGAGAUGUUGGGUUAAGUCCCGCAACGAGCGCAACCCUUGCUAUUAGUUGCUACGCAAGAGCACUCUAAUAGGACUGCCGUUGACAAAACGGAGGAAGGUGGGGACGACGUCAAAUCAUCAUGCCCCUUAUGACCUGGGCUACACACGUACUACAAUGGAUGUUAACAGAGGGAAGCAAGACAGCGAUGUGGAGCAAACCCCUAAAAACAUUCUCAGUUCAGAUUGCAGGCUGCAACCCGCCUGCAUGAAGAUGGAAUUGCUAGUAAUCGCGGAUCAGCAUGCCGCGGUGAAUACGUUCCC
rnacentral:rRNA from 1 species